GCAGUGGUGGUUUAGUGAUAGAAUACUCACCUUCCACGUGGGAGACCAGGGUUUGAUUACUGGCCAGUGCA
rnacentral:tRNA from 1 species